GACAGAGGGGGCAAGCGUUGCUCGGAAUUACUGGGCGUAAAGGGCGCGUAGGCGGGAUGGCAAGUCGGUCGUGAAAUCCCUCGGCUCAACUGGGGAUCGUCGAUCGAUACUGCCGUUCUUGAGGAUUGCAGAGGAGACUGGAAUUCCCGGUGUAGCGGUGAAAUGUGUAGAGAUCGGGAGGAACACCGGUGGCGAAGGCGGGUCUCUGGGCAAUUCCUGACGCUGAGGCGCGAAAGCGUGGGGAGCAAACGGG
rnacentral:rRNA from 1 species